AUACGGAGGAUGCGAGCGUUAUCCGGAUUUAUUGGGUUUAAAGGGAGCGUAGGUGGGAUAUUAAGUCAGCUGUGAAAGUUUGGGGCUCAACCUUAAAAUUGCAGUUGAUACUGGUUUCCUUGAGUACGGUAUAGGUGGGCGGAAUUCGUGGUGUAGCGGUGAAAUGCUUAGAUAUCACGAAGAACUCCGAUCGCGAAGGCAGCUCACCGGGCCGGAACUGACACUGAUGCUCGAAAGUGCGGGUAUCAAACAGGAUUAGAUACCCUGGUAGUCCACACAGUAAACGAUGAAUACUCGCUGUUUGCGAUAUACAGUAAGCGGCCAAGCGAAAGCGUUAAGUAUUCCACCUGGGGAGUACGCCGGCAACGGUGAAACUCAAAUGAAUUGACGGG
rnacentral:rRNA from 1 species